rnacentral:tRNA from 3 species
GCCGAGGUGGCGGAAUUGGUAGACGCAGCGGAUUCAAAAUCCGCCGGCAGCAAUGUCUUGGGGGUUCAAGUCCCCCCCUCGGUACCA